GGAUUGAGGGUGAUCUGGCUGCUACAUCUGUCACCCCAGUGAUGGCCAGGGUGGAUUGCUGAUCUGGCUGCCUCGGCAGGUGUUCCCUUCCUGCCUCCCUACUGCUCCAUGCAUGUCCCUCCCAGAGCUGCAUGCUCAGGUGAUCAAAGGACAACCUUCCCUGCUAGAGGAGGAUGGUUCUUUGGUCAGAGGUGUAUAAGUACCUAAGCUCCCUUGGUAGGAACUUCAAAUGAGCUCUCAAGGCCCAUUUGUAGAAGAACAUAAGACUCCAGACACAUCCAAAUAAAGCACUGUGUGUGGCAGUCUGUCUUU
rnacentral:snRNA from 1 species